rnacentral:rRNA from 1 species
UACGAAGGGGGCUAGCGUUGCUCGGAAUCACUGGGCGUAAAGGGUGCGUAGGCGGGUCUUUUAAGUCAGGGGUGAAAUCCUGGAGCUCAACUCCAGAACUGCCUUUGAUACUGAAGAUCUUGAGUUCGGGAGAGGUGAGUGGAAUUCCGAGUGUAGAGGUGAAAUUCGUAGAUAUUCGGAGGAACACCAGUGGCGAAAGCGGCCACCUGGACUGCGCCUGACGCUGAAACGCGAAAGCUAAGGGGAGCGAACGGG